GAAAUAAGGAACUUGUUCUCACUGGCGCUAACAGAAAAACAGCUUUAUAAACCAUUGCUGUAUGCUGUUGAACAAAGAUGCCCGAUUCAUGCUUUAAAAGGAGGCUCCUGGAAGAACAGCCUGAAGACACUGUCUCAGAUCAAAAGCAGCCUCAAAAGGACAUCUUUUUCAAAUUCAAUUACUGACUCUGGGGACUUACAUGGAGGAGUUAUGGUUAUGAAGAAGAAAAGAUCAACCACUUGGAUCUGAAGAUGUUUACAGCAUUAAGAUAGAUGGAUUAUACAAGGUCGGAUCCUAAUAUUUUCUCUUCUGAUGAGACAAUUUAAAAAGAUAAGUGCCGAUUUUUGCUUUCAGAGUCAUCAGCUCUGUAUUUUUCCCCUUGUCUCCUGACAUUCUCUUGGAUUUGUGGUGUUAAUUACAUUCCACUAACCUUGGCUUCUAGAAUGCCAAGACUCUUAGCUGCUAAGAUCCACAAAUAACAUCAAUUAGAUAAAUGGGGCGUUUCCACUCUCUCAUGCAACCCUGUUGGAUCUGCAAGUGCAGCGCUAAUAACUCCUAGGAUUCUGCUGCAUGGUCCUGACUUCAAAUAUUUUGAGAAUGAAUGUAAAUUAGAGUAUUUUGACUUUUAGUUUGAAUAAUAUAAUCACUAUACAUAUAUGAAAUAUUAAAACUUUGAAAUAAAAAUUGUUCUCAUUUUGAAACUCCA
ensembl:lncRNA